rnacentral:lncRNA from 1 species
AGCUUGGUCUACAAUUGAGUCCAGGACAGCCAGGGCUCUGUUUCACAGAGAAACCUUGUUUUGGUUAAAAUUGUUGUUGUUAUUAUUGUUAUUAAUUAGACAAAUGAAAUAGUGAAAUAACAUGUUAUUGAAAAUGUGUUAGCUGGGUGUAGCAGUAUAUUGCUUAUAAUUGAUGAAUGAAAGUAAAAAGAUCUUGAGUUUUAAACCAGUGUCAGGUGAGUCAGUGUCUGAAAAGACAAGAAGUUUUUAUACCUUAGUAAAACUUGUUUACAUUCAUAUGUAAAAUGACUUUUUUUUUUCUGUAGACUAUUGACAACUGGAUAUAGUAAUCUGUGAUUUAUACUGUUUUGGACUUCUGUUUUAUUUUUGAGUUUUGUUGAUAUAGUAAUUACUUCAACUCUUAAUGACUUUAGCAAGAAAGUAUAUAAAAAGUAUGAGAAUAAAAGAGAAUUCUUGGAAACAUAGGGUUAAUGCCUGUAGUAGUGGGGAUCCAAAAGAGCUCAAGCAGCAAUCAGAGAGAUUUGGAGGAAAACCAAGGGAGUGGCACCCCCUAAACCAAGCAAUGAAGACAAGUCUAGGAGUAAGAAGAUAUGGUUAGCAGCCUCGAGUGCUGAAGAUAGAGGCUGGACUGAAGAACACAUUAUACUUUGCAUGUAUGGUAAUUGGUGACCUUAAUUAAGCUAAUGUCAUUGGAUUGUUAAUGACUGAAGGAGUAAGUAAUUGGUAGGUGAUCACUUUAGAAUUUUAAUAUGAAUUAGCUGUUUCAUUUAAAUUUGCACAAUAGAUAUGUUCUGUUUUAUAGAUAGACUAAGAUUAUGAGAAGAGAAAUAGAGUUGGAGUUAGGUGUCUUCUACAUUCCACUGCAAAGACAGUGGGAUGGAAUUAUAUCUAUUUAUAUAUGCAUAAAUACUCACCAAGUGGUAGGUACAGAAAAAGAGAAGUGUUACAUAUUUUGACUGGUUUCUCGUUUAUUUGAAGGAAUAAUACAUAGGAGGUAUCUGACAAGUGGUUUUUAAUUCUUCCUUUAGAUUUAAAGAACAUGUACAAAAUAACUUGCCUAGAGAUCUUUUAACUGGUGAACAGUUUAUUCAGCUGAGAAGGGAAUUAGCUUCUGUAAAUGGACACAGUGGUGAUGACGGCCCUCCUGGUGAUGACCUUCCAUCAGGAAUUGAAGACAUAACUGAUCCAGCAAAGGUAACCCUCUUAAUCACAUGGUCAGUGAAUAAGAAACUAGGUAGCAGGAAUGGAAUGGUGAUAAAGUGUGCCAUUUAGAUCAGUAUGAUUUAAGAAUGAAUUUUAAGGAGAAAGUUUUACCAUGACACACCUGGAAGUAACUUACUCUAGAAAAAAUAAUUUACUUUGAUUGCAGUCUACUAUUCCUAUUGUAGAAAAUACAUAAGAAAUUGGCUUUUUGAAGUUGUGUUUUAAAUCAUUUUUAAAGCAGGGUGUGGUGGCACACACUGUUAAUGCCAGCAUUUGGGGGGCAGAGUCAAUUGGAUCUCCAUUAGUUCAGGACAGGCUGGUCUCCAUAAUGUGUUCCAGGUUUGCCAGCACUAUAUAUACAGAGACCCUGUCUCAAGAAAACAACCUAAAACAAAAUUAAAUACUCUAGCUACUGAAGAAUGAAAUAUCUGUGGAAGAUAUUUAAAUGUGUGCUAUUGAGAAUUUUUAGUAUGUAACUUAUAAGUUUUAAUUUUUUUCUUUUUUUUCAAGCUAAUUACUGAAAUAGAAAAUAUGAGACACAGAAUCAUUGAAAUUCAUCAAGAAAUGUUUAAUUAUAAUGAGCAUGAAGUUAGUAAGAGGUGGACAUUUGAAGAAGGUGUAAGUGUUUUGUUUUAUAGUCUUAAAAUAUAAAAAUAAGAUUUUUUCUUAUAGUAGUGACACCAUUGUGAAUUUUUCUUUCUGUAUUAGUAAUAAUUCAAAGUGUGCAUCUCAGUUGUAUUUGACAUUUUCUAUGACCAGCUUUAGAAUCUUACUACAUUUGUAUUUCAAGUGCAAGAUUCCUGAUUAAGGUGAAUUCCUUUAAAAAUCAACUUUAUUGUGCUAAAUCUUGUGGACAAUAAAAUAACAGCUGUUCUAAGGGCUAGGUUCAAUUUGUAGAAUGCUUGCCCAACAUACACAAAUCCCUGAGUUUGAUCCCAGCCCCAUGUAUAGACCAGGUUGGAUGCCAAGUCUUAAAUCUUAGCACUUGGAAGCUAGAGAAAAAAGGUUCAAAAGUUGAAAGUCAUCUUCAGUUACAUCAGUUCCAUAUCAGCCUUGCUACGUAGGACUUGAUCUCAGAAAUUAAAAACAACACACCCAACCAUCUACAGAUGAAUGAUGCUUUUGUCUUACGAAUUUAACUAAUUUCUGUUUGUAAGGUAUGUUUCAUACUUCAUUUGCGUAUUUGAAGUAUGCAUUUUGUUAGUUCACAAGAUAUGUACUACCAUCAGCAUAGUUGAUUUACUUUUUUCUCAUGUUUCCUCUUCAGUUUUUCUAACCCUGCUUACUCACCUGCAGCUUAGCUUCCUCAGCCCCAAUCUUAAGGUUUGAUGUAGCUUUGUUUUUGUAAGUUAUCCUUUCAUGAUCUAGCCUGUGAAUAGAUAUGUGUGUCUGUUGUGGCUGACUGUAAAAUAAGUUUUGAUAAAUAAACAAUGUAGCUUACCUUAGUAAUAAAAAUAAGGACCCUCUUAAAAGACCAGCCUGGAGUACAUAUUGAGUUCGAAGACAGCCAGGGCUACGUUCAGACUUUGUCUUAAGGACACACAUAUCUCUCUUCAAAACUGUAAUG